rnacentral:rRNA from 1 species
AUUGAACGCUGGCGGCAGGCUUAACACAUGCAAGUCGAGCGGAGAAGAGGUGCUUGCACCUUAUCUUAGCGGCGGACGGGUGAGUAAUGCUUAGGAAUCUGCCUAUUAGUGGGGGACAACAUUCCGAAAGGGAUGCUAAUACCGCAUACGUCCUACGGGAGAAAGCAGGGGAUCUUCGGACCUUGCGCUAAUAGAUGAGCCUAAGUCGGAUUAGCUAGUUGAUGGGGUAAAGGCCUACCAAGGCGACGAUCUGUAGCGGGUCUGAGAGGAUGAUCCGCCACACUGGGACUGAGACACGGCCCAGACUCCUACGGGAGGCAGCAGUGGGGAAUAUUGGACAAUGGGGGGAACCCUGAUCCAGCCAUGCCGCGUGUGUGAAGAAGGCCUUAUGGUUGUAAAGCACUUUAAGCGAGGAGGAGGCUACUGAGACUAAUACUCUUGGAUAGUGGACGUUACUCGCAGAAUAAGCACCGGCUAACUCUGUGCCAGCCGCCGCAGUAA